GCCGGCCGGCCUGGGCGCGGAAGGGAAGCUGCGCGGGGGCGGGGCAGGCCGGCCUCCACUACCCUCCUAGGACCCCGCCGACCUCCGCCUCUGAGCAUGUGCGGAACUACGGCGCCUGCGCGGAACUGGGACGCCUGCGCGGUCGCGUCCUCGAAGCCUCUGCUCCGGGGACCGCCUCGGGGAGCGUGGGAACCUAGUGUAGGGGCGCUUUCCUGUGGUGGCGGAGUGUUGCGUGGGUGUGCGUGGGGGUCGGGGGCGUUUCCGGGAAGUUAAACGCCUGCUAGACUUUGAGCGGAAGCUGAGGGGGGCUGGCGACGCUUGAGGCUGAAUCCUGCCGUCUCUUUCACCUGCUGCUCUUGAGCAGUUAGCAAUCAAAUUCGUGAAAAGAGUGAAUCCGGAAAUAGAGAAGAUAUGAAAGAGGAUGAAGAAAUGAAAAUACAUCUAAAGCAUUCAGAAAUCACCAGGAUACAGGAUGAAUCAUACUUCAGGCCCAGGGAAGUGGAAGUCAUUUUAAUCUUGGACCAGUUAAAUUCUGGAGGCUGGAAAGUCCAAAGUGAAGGUGGCUGGCUGGUUCGAUUCCCCGUUCUGUUUUCAACAGAACAGGAGUCCAGACUAAGGAGUUGGCGCUGGAAUUGAGGAACUCACUGGCCAACUGGCAAGAAGACUGUGGCUAGUGGUAAGUGAAGGCUGUGAGUCAAAAAGAGGCAAGUUCUGUUCAAGGAACCGACAGUGAUUGUCCUGGCUGGACUGCACAGAGCAUGGCUGAGCUCGAGAACCAAGGCUGGAGAGGUAGAAUGGGGCCAGAUUAUGCUGGUCCUUGUAGGACAUGUUUCAGUUUGGUCUUUCUCCUACAGCAAACAGGAAAGCACAGAAGGACCUUUAGCUGUGGAGCAACAUGGUCAUAUUUGCACUGAACAUAUUAGCAUGAGGAACAGACUAGAAGGGGGUAGGUGAUGACAAGAGAGGACCCUGGGAGGUGGGUUUAGAGGCUAUUGCAUUAGUCCAGGGGAGAAAGGGUGGUAGCUUGGUCUAGGAGGUCGGCGGGAAGCAGAGGCCAUAGGGACCUUGCCUGGAAUUUUAAAAAGAACAAACAUUUCUGCAUUUAAUGGAAGAUUUGACCAGUUGACUGCAGUGGCUCCUCUGAAUACCCUUUGAGAGUGUCUGAUUAUUUCACUAAAAAGCAAGAAACCGCUUAAUAAAA